rnacentral:rRNA from 1 species
AGCAGUAGCCGCGGGAAUACGUAGGUGGCAAGCGUUGUACGGAAUUAUUGGGCGUAAAGGGCUCGCAGGCGGUUUCUUAAGUCUGAUGUGAAAGCCCCCGGCUCAACCGGGGAGGGUCAUUGGAAACUGGGAAACUUGAGUGCAGAAGAGGAGAGUGGAAUUCCACGUGUAGCGGUGAAAUGCGUAGAGAUGUGGAGGAACACCAGUGGCGAAGGCGACUCUCUGGUCUGUAACUGACGCUGAGGAGCGAAAGCGUGGGGAGCGAACAGGAUUAGAUACCCCAGUAGUCCCUGUCUCUUAUAC